GAUAAAUAUGGAAAAAGCACAUUAAAGAAGAGAGAAAGAAAGAACCUGUCGCAUAGGAAGACCAAGAAUGUUAAAUGUAACAGGUCCAGCUCCAUUCCUGUCCUUUGGAUGAUGAUAUUUACAUGUGGAUCCAUAUUUGCAAGCUCCUGUCUUUAAAAAGUACUGCAAAGGAGGUUAAUGAAAACUACAAAAUUA